ensembl:snoRNA small nucleolar RNA SNORA17
UCCGCCACUAGAGGCGUUGCAGUGCGGUUUUCGAUGUCGCAUUUGCUUCAUUAGUUGGCGGAAAGUAAACCAGAGCUAUGUCUACGCUCAGUUCCUAAAUGAAUGGGGACUCCGCAUGACUGUUAGCUCGACAUC